GGAAUUAUUCCGUUUUCCCCUAAAUUUCUAUUGUGUUUUCUAGGGAAAACGGAAUAAUUCCGAUCGGAAUCGAUUCCGAACAAAUGCAUAAUACGUGCCCUGAACAGCAUGGUGUCUUUAUACCGAUGUGUUGAAUAGUAACGAGGCCGCGGUUUAAGAUUUUGCGUUAAUUAGUUUUAAUUUUUAUUUCGUUUAAAAUGAAUGUUACCGAAAAACAGAAGCAAAUUUUGAUAAAUUUUAUGCGGGCUCAUCCGGACUUUGGCAGAGGCCGAGUGCGGUAUAACCGCGAGAAUAAACGAAAAAUGGAUGAAUUAUGGGAGGAAGUCACGAUCAAUUUAAAUUCUGCAGGAUCCGGCCCUCAAAAAUUACCAAAAGAGUGGGCAAAGAUAUUGGUAACAAAAAAUUGAAGAAAACAAACGUUAAACAUUUAUUUCAUCAACACACUGUAGACUACAAUGACAUUCAGGAGAAAAUAUUGGAAAUAAAAAAGGAAAAAUUGGCUCUACAGAAAGAAGAUUUAGAAUUCAAAAAGAAGUCACAUCAGGAAUGUACUGAACUUAUGAUAUCAUUAAUUGGUAAGAUAGACGAACUAAAAAAUAUUGUUCAAACCAUUGCUCCAAUUUAUUUAGAAUAAAGUACACAUGUUCUUGUUUAAA